AGGCCUAACACAUGCAAGUGGAGCGGUAACAGAAAGUAGCUUGCUACUUUGCUGACGAGCGGCGGACGGGUGAGUUGAAUGCUUGGGAACAUGCCUUGAGGUGGGGGACAACAGUUGGAAACGACUGCUAAUACCGCAUGAAUGUCUACGGACCAAAGGGGGCUUCGGCUCUCGCCUUUAGAUUGGCCCAAGUGGGAUUAGCUAGUUGGUGAGGUAAUGGCUCACCAAGGCAACGAUCCCUAGCUGGUUUGAGAGGAUGAUCAGCCACACUGGGACUGAGACACGGCCCAGACUCCUACGGGAGGCAGCAGUGGGGAAUAUUGCACAAUGGGCGCAAGCCUGAUGCAGCCAUGCCGCGUGUGUGAAGAAGGCCUUCGGGUUGUAAAGCACUUUCAGUCAGGAGGAAAGGUUAGUAGUUAAUACCUGCUAGCUGUGACGUUACUGACAGAAGAAGCACCGGCUAACUCCGUGCCAGCAGCCGCGGUAAUACGGAGGGUGCGAGCGUUAAUCGGAAUCACUGGGCGUAAAGCGUACGCAGGCGGUUUGUUAAGCGAGAUGUGAAAGCCCCGGGCUCAACCUGGGAACUGCAUUUCGAACUGGCAAACUAGAGUGUGAUAGAGGGUGGUAGAAUUUCAGGUGUAGCGGUGAAAUGCGUAGAGAUCUGAAGGAAUACCGAUGGCGAAGGCAGCCACCCUGGGUCAACACUGACGCUCAUGUACGAAAGCGUGGGGAGCCAGCAGGAAUUAGAUACCCCUGGUAGUUCACGCCGGUAAUCGAAUGUCUACUUAGAAGCCUCGGAAGCNUCGGCCCUUGNUUUUUCAAAGCCUACCGCAUUUAAGUUGAA
rnacentral:rRNA from 1 species